rnacentral:rRNA from 1 species
AUACGGAGGAUCCGAGCGUUAUCCGGAUUUAUUGGGUUUAAAGGGUGCGCAGGCGGGAGAUUAAGUCGGCGGUGAAAUUUUGCAGCUCAACUGUAAAAGUGCCUUCGAAACUGGUUUCCUUGAGUGCAGAUGAAGCAGGCGGAAUUUGUGGCGUAGAGGGGAAAUGCAUAGAUAUCACGAGGAACUCCGAUUGCGCAGGCAGCUUACUAACUACUACUGACGCUCAGGCACGAAGGCGUGGGGAUCAAACAGGAUUAGAUACCCUGGUAGUCCACGCAGUAAACGAUGAUUACUAGCUGUUUGCGAUACAAUGUAAGCGGCUGAGCGAAAGCGUUAAGUAAUCCACCUGGGGAGUACGUUCGCAAGAAUGAAACUCAAAGGAAUUGACGGGU